AAAGGUGAAUUAUGUUUUUGCAAUUAAAUUAUUUUUUUGGUGAAAACGUCCGUGUUUUUAUAAAACAAUGAAUUGGUGAAAUUGUAACUUUUCCUAAGUUGUUUCCCACUUAAGUGUUAUUAUUUGAAAAUAGCGUCGAAAAUCAAAAAACGUUUAAUAUACAAUCUAGUAACUGAAGCUUUCAGAAAAGUUUGCUACANUUAAAAAUCGGAGCCAGUUUACUAGAAUAAAACGUGUCCACAGACUAGAACAAAGAAAAAAAAGAAAUAAUUUUUUCUUUUUAGAUUCAAAGUGGAGCGAAGAAGCUUAUAGUUUUACAAAGUUACCUCACCGGAGGACUUGAUAAGAUUUUUACGUGUAGCAA